UGAGGAAUAUUGGUCAAUGGGGGCAACCCUGAACCAGCCAAGUCGCGUGAAGGAUGAAGGUCUUAUGGAUUGUAAACUUCUUUUAUACAGGAAUAAAUUGGGGGACGUGUCCCCUUUUGCAUGUACUGUAUGAAUAAGGAUCGGCUAACUCCGUGCCAGCAGCCGCGGUAAUACGGAGGAUCCGAGCGUUAUCCGGAUUUAUUGGGUUUAAAGGGUGCGCAGGCGGGAUGUUAAGUCGGCGGUGAAAUUUUGCAGCUCAACUGUAAAAGUGCCUUCGAUACUGGCCUCCUUGAGUGUGGAUGAAGUAGGCGGAAUUUGUGGUGUAGCGGUGAAAUGCUUAGAUAUCACGAGGAACUCCGAUUGCGCAGGCAGCUUACUAGGCCACAACUGACGCUCAUGCACGAAGGCGUGGGGAUCAAACA
rnacentral:rRNA from 1 species